UGACAACAGGUGCUCUCACUACACACUACCUAAAAGAAUGAAUCUCAUGGCAUUCAGGUAAAAGGCAAAGGUAUGGAGAAUGGAACUAUGCAAUUUCAUUGAAUAUCUUGAAGUUCCGUUGAUUGUGAUCAUAGCUAUGUUCUUGCCUUUCAAUUGGUAGUAUCUUGGCUUAGGUGCUUUAUGCUUUAAAAUGUUGUUUCCUUUGGUGUACCUAAGAAAAUACUUCUUAAUCAUGGUGUGCUUAGACAUUGUGCUUUAUAUGUAUGAUCUUGUCGUUUUUCAAUUGGUAUAUGUGUUGCAAUGAUCAUCAUGUGUGAAGCGUGCCUUGGUGUUUUUAAAUGUUAUAUAUCAUGAGGCAUGCAUUGUUUCCACUAGUCAUAAGUUGUAUUAUCUCAUCUAUUCAAUUGGUAUCUUUUUGUGAUGUAAUUGAUAUAUUAUGCCUAGACCAAGGUAUGUUUCCCCUUUACUUCUGAGGAUGCUAGAAUGUGCAAGGUGCAAGUCAUUCAAAUACUUGAUGCACAACUUUAGGGGGAGCACACAUAACUUGUGUCUUUUGAGACUAACUGUUUUUUGAGUGAUCCUAUAUAGUCUCAAGGUGGAAAAGGGAAGAUGAGCAAGAAAUGGAGCGAUCAGGACUUGAGUACCUCCACAAGUCGAGUAAUUGGUAUCUAAAGUUGUGAGUAAUUACGUAUUUAAAGGUUGCUCGUGCUCUAUAAUAGUUGGUGAUCCUAGAUGCUUAUCUUUAAAUAUCAUGGAGCUAUGACAGUGACGAUUUUUCAAUUGGUAGCCUUGGUAGUGUGCUUCAAUUGGUAUCUUUUGGUAAUCACUAGAAUAGAAGCUUCAUCUUGUGCCACAAUACUAUAACUUGUUCUAAGUUUUGUAUCUUAGCAACAAGAAAAGGUCAGGAUAAAGGAUCAGACAUAAGUGUAAAGGAGCUCCCUAGAGAUAAAACUUUCAAGAUGGAAAUCUUGAAUUGAUGACAAAAGGAACUCCGCCUACUUGGAUGGAAAGUACACCAUAACAUGGUAAAGGAACAAAAGGAGGUAUUGACCUUUUUGCGUAUUUGUACCUUAAUUUUUCUCCAAUGCUUGUGUUGCAUAUGUUUAAUGUGUAAGGGGGAGUAAUGUUAGAGUGUUGCAUUUUCCCUGCUUAAUACCCUGCUGUCCCUUGACAUCAUCCUAUGUUCUUGCUUGAAUAUGGUUUUGGUGUUUGAUGUCAAAGGGGGAGAAUUUGUGCAUUAAAGCUUACCUCGACCUGAGAGGAAAGCUUAUCUUAAGGGUGAAGAUUAAUUUUUUGUGUGCUAAAGGACUCAAAGGGGUUUCCUUGAGUUCCUUUGAUCUUAAAGAAAAAUGUGUUAGUUUGUUGAUAAUACUUAUCAUAUGCUUCUUGUUGUAUUAUAUGGUGAUAAUGCAAAAUUAGUGCUUCCAUUGAUAUGAAUCAAUUGGUAUCUACUGUGUUUAUCCUGUGAUAGAUAUUCAUGUGGUUCUGGCGCUUUAAAUCGGUAUCUUAAUGGUGAAUAGUGGUAGGUUGAUAUUCCUAUGGUAUAUUUAUUUAAUUGGUGUUUAACUCUGAUUCUGUGCAUUUGUGUGUUAUAUGCAUCACGGUUUGAUUCUUCACACAAUGCAUCCCACAGGUGCUAAGGUGUAGCAAUGCUUCGAAUUAGCCUAAGUAUGUGCAUUUUGGCAUUUAAGGCCAAAGUUAAGAUUUUAAUGUAAGCACAUAUUUAGGGGGAGCAUUCUAUAAACUUAGAAUUCAAAAUUUGUGCUUUAAAUCUUAUUGUUGUGUAAGCUUUAAUUGUGUUGCCAUCAAUCACCAAAAAGGGGGAGAUUGAAAGCUCUCUUGUGGGUUUUGGUGGUUUGGAUGACAACCCAAUUAAAGGACUAACAAGUGUGCUAAGUGUUGAACAGGUGCUUAAUGCAAAGCUAACAGGGUUCAACACAAGUGAACAAGUGUGAUGGUCCAAAGACUGGAUUAUCUAUAGAUAAUGGACAUCACAAGUAAGAUGGACAUUGCUUAAGUGAGACUUGGUGUGCGUAACUCAGAGACAACCGAUCAAGCCAAGGAUGGAGGCAAGAAGAGCUUCGAGGUAUCGAGUGCACGGGAGAAGGUCAAGGAGACCAGGAACCCAAAGCCAGGGGUGAAGAAGAAGACUUGCAAAGUCAAGGUUGAUCGAGUUAAGAAGACUUAUGGUGCAUCAAGGAUCACUACAUAAGGCUCAAGAUCAAGCUCGAGAAGUGAACGGGGGUUGGGGCUCAGAUAUGUCAAUCUAGAUCAAGUCAAGUUGACUUGAUGGUUUAGAGUCCAACAUCGACCUCAAACAAGCCAAAUUGGGUAAAACGAUGAAAAAAGUUAAGUAUGUAAGGUUUGAGUAUUCAACCAUUUUGCAUACACCUCUUACUACAAGUUUGGUGCUUUGGUUUGCUCUCUAACUCUUUCUGUAGAGAAAGUACCAUUCUGAGCUCUGCUGGAGGAGAAACAGAAAAGCUAGGAGAAGAACAAGAAAGAUGUAAGUUUCUAGGACUAAAUCAAUUGGAUUAUACUCUAAAUGUGUUUGUUUAAGUCUCAGGAAAAUCCUCCCAAAAGUUGAAGUCAAACGGAGAAAGAACGGAGGAAAAAGCACUUAGUGUGCUGUUGGCUGGUGCACAGGACAGUGAAUAGUAGCUGUCCGGUGCACAGGACAGUGAAUAGUAACUCUGUCCGGUGCACAGGACAGUGAAUAGUAACUGUGUCCGGUGCACAGGACAGUGAAUAGUCGCAGCGUCCGGUGCACAGGACAGUGAAUAGUCGCAGUGUCCGGUGCACAGGACCGUGAAUAGUAGCUGUGUCCGGUGCACAGGACAGUGAAUAGUGACCUGUCCGGUGCACAGGACAGUGAAUAGUAACCUGUCCGGUGCACCAACGGCUAGCUGUUUCAGAGAAGGAAACUGUCAAUCAGAUCCGUUACUGUUCACUGUCCGGUGCGCCACCGGACAGUCCGGUGCACCCGCAACCAGGGAAGGCUGGGAGCUUCCAAAUGAAGCUCUAACGGCUCCUAGGCCAUUUGGGGCUAUAAAAGGGACCCCUAGGCACCUCAAACAAUAACACAAGUGCAGCCAACAAUUGUAUACAUCACUCGGAUCGAUUCUCUCUCUCCCUCUUGUGUAAAUCUCUCUAGUUUGUGUGAAGGCAAAGUUAUAAGCCUUUAGAGAGUGGAGAGGUGCUGCAAAGAGCUAGAGCAAAGUCUUGAGCGCAUUGUUACUCUGCCGGAGUGCUGUCAAGAAGAUUGUAAGCAGCCGCGGCUUUGUUGUAACCCAACUCAACAUAGUGGAAGGCUCUAUCUGUCAUACUGACAGAUCUGAGCAAACAGAGGAAGGAGUUGAAAUAGACUCCAAGCCCAGGUGUGGCUAACUCCAACGAGGACUAGGCAAGCAUUUCAGGCUUGGCCGAACCUCGGGAUAAAUCCCUGUGUCUGUGUGCUCUGCUCUGUGCUGUGUGCUGUUUCUCUGUCUUAUUUGUUGUUUAUACUUGCACUUCAAUAUUUAUAUGUGGUAUAAGCUGUCUUUGAAGUGCAGGGUAUUUUAAGACAGGAACUUCAAUUCUGUUGCAACCUACUCGAAGGGUCCUUCAUUCCACUGCAAUCCAGUCUUCGAGUAGAGUAAGAAUUUCCAGUUAUAAAGUGAUUAAUUAUUAUUCGCCUAUUCACCCCCCUCUAGGCGACAUCCAGAUCCUGUUCCAAGGCAUAGGGAACUUUCAGUAGUGAGCUGAAAUGAUUCAACAAUUCACCUGAUAUCAUGAUCUAGAUGGUUUUCUGAAAUGUGCAUUGAACCAUUAGGAAACACAAGUGGGAUGUAGUGAUAACAAAUCUUUUUAGUCACAAAGAUUUUUUUUCUUGGAACCAUUAAUAGUUGGCUAACAGCUACAAUGAUACAAGUGUUUGUUUUAAUAUGUUGUGAAUUGCAAUGGUUACAAGUGCCUUUGUUUUUGUUUUGCAAAAAAACAAACCACUUAUCUGGUCUCAAGGUUCUUCAUGGCCUUGACUCUCAAAGAUCAGAGUAUUCUUGUCAAUGGGGAUAUCAAUGAAGACUUGCUUCGCCUUUGUCACAAGCUUCAUCGUUUAAGGAAAGAAUAUGCAUACACAUUUGAAAGCACAAGCUUAUCUUAUCAGUGUUCCGAGGUUACCACGAUCUUGCAAGGUAGGGGCACCAUAGUUAGCAUGAGACCCACUGAACGAAUAUGCAUAACUACAUUUGCAUUAAAAAGAAGAUUGGACCAAAUGAGCUACAACAUAAGAUUUUAUUUGAUAGAAGGGUCUAAUGAAAACAUUGGACCAUGAGAGUGGAGAGGCAGGGCCAUUGCUACUGCAAGUCGCCCCUAAGCCUGGUACUAAGAGUUGUAGGAGGCAAGAAUUCACAGUUAUCUUUGUCUACAUGCUAUUCUUUGAACACAAUAUUUACGAGCUUGAUAGGCCUGUUUUGGAAUACAAAUUAUGUGUCCGAUAGGUAAAUAAUUUAUGCAAUGAUUCUUAGACCUUUGGCUCUUACUGCUUCAAGGAUUAAUGUGUGACUAUUUAGCCUUCAAUCCAAGCGGUAUGCCACUAAUCUCAAAAAUUGCUUCUACGCAAUAUUUACUUGACAAUUUAUAGAUUUGUUGUUUCUUAGAGAUAUUUUUUCAUGUAAUAGGUUAUAAGGUUGUUCAUGACAUAUAGAGGUUUGUUGGUCAUAAUUUAUACUAUAUGAAGAUUAUGGGAGUCAGCCCUAAAUUCACAUUUUCUGCAAUCUACAGAUUCAUGUAAAAAAGUUCAAUCUACAACAACAUUUCCUCAAAAUGUCUAACAGACUUGUUUUCUUCAGGCUAGGGACCCAGGGGCUACACAUCUUAUAACUGAAAACACAUGAGCAAUAUGUUGUUAACACUUUUUUUCUUGUUCGUGUUUUAUAGAUAGAGGUAUAUAAUAUGGAGACGUUUAAUAUUUAAACCAUUAGAGACUUAUGUAACAAAAAACAUAUUGUUUAGCUAUUAUGCUAACUCAAUAUGGAGAUCCUCAAGUAUCUUAGAAUUAGUUGGGGAAACACAAAUUUACACUCAUAGUUUUCUUUGAUGAUUUUUACAAAUACUUGGUUUGCACUAUUGAUGAAAACAUGGUAUUGUUUCAAGCCAACCUUGAGCAUUCAUCGGAGAAGUUUGAAAAUGUUACUAUCCUUUCUGCUCUUAGUAAAAUAGUUAUUGGACUGUUACAGAAUGAUCAAAUAUUGACCUAUGCUAAUCAAGAGUUGAACGAAAGAAGUGAAGAUUCUUCUGUGUGCAGACAACCGAAACUUUUCUUGAAUUGCCUCAAGAUUACUAAUACAUUUGUUGACUUACACUUCUAAAUGGGAUACAUGUAACUGUCCUGCCUAAGUGCCCAUGAGGAUGACCCCUGUCUAUUUUAGUAAUCUAUAGGCUUUUUAUGAUAUGCAGGUUUAUGAGGUUGUCAAGUUUUCAUUUCAAUGCAAAUCCAGCUGGACAACACCAUGUCACAAAGCAGUGUGCUUCUAGAUACAGUUCAGUCUUGGCGUCAUCGAAUCAAUGAAACAUGAAGUUAGAAGCACACCGAGAUCCAGUGGCUUGUGACCCCUUGACCCUUUAGAGGAAGCGCACUAGAGUCGUUGGCAAGAAGAAGAGGAUCGCCAAGAAGAAGUCUGAGGCUGCCGAGUACCAAAAGCUUCUUGCUCAGAGGCUGAAGGAAUAGAGAGACCGCGAGAGCUUGGCCAAGAGGAGGUCCAAGCUUUCUGCCGCUUCCAAGGCUUCCGCUACCAUCGCCGCUUAAGAAUGUUCGAUGCUUUGAUAUGUUUCAAGACCUAUCUUGUUACAGCUUAAAUACCUUAUGCUACUCUGAUUGUGUUGCAACUUGCAACUGCCCCUGUACUUGAUAGAUUUGUAUUAGAUGCUCAAGCUACAGAGGGUAGGUUCCUAAUUAUGACCAUAUGACUAUGUACUAAAUUAUAUAUCUGUUGCUAAGUUAAAAUACAUACAAAAUAAGUUUACUCCGACCAUCUUGUAGAAAAACAAGUUAUAGUGACUAAGGAUAUCUGAAUUGCUCCUAUGUUACUUUUUAUAUUCAUGCUUGUAAUUCCAUUUA